rnacentral:rRNA from 1 species
CGGACGGGUGAGUAACACGUGGAUAACCUACCUAUAAGACUGGGAUAACUUCGGGAAACCGGAGCUAAUACCGGAUAAUAUUUUGAACCGCAUGGUUCAAAAGUGAAAGACGGUCUUGCUGUCACUUAUAGAUGGAUCCGCGCUGCAUUAGCUAGUUUGUAAGGUAACGGCUUACCAAGGCAACGAUGCAUAGCCGACCUGAGAGGGUGAUCGGCCACACUGGAACUGAGACACGGUCCAG